rnacentral:lncRNA from 1 species
AGUAGUGGUAAUCAGUGGGGUAUGUUUCUAGGGUGUGCAAGGCUUUGGUCUUUCGCUCUUUGCAGUAAGUGUUGUUGCUGCUUUCUGUUUGGGUUCAUGCUGCUUUUAUGAGAUGUAACACCGUGAAGGUGUGCAGCUUCAUUCCUGAAGCCAGUGAGACCACAAACCCAUCGGGAGAAACGAGCAACUCCAGACAUGCCGCCUAAAGAGCUGUAACACUCACCGCGAAGGUCUGCAGCUUCCCUCCUGAUGUAACAAGAUCACGAACCCACCAGAAGGAAGAAACUCCGAACACAUCCGAAUAUCAGAGGGGACAAACUCUGAACACGCCGCCUUUAAGAACUGUAACAACGGGAGGGUCCGUGGCUUCAUUGUUGAAGUCAGACCAAGAACCCACCAAUUCCGGACACAGAAGCACACAUUUACAAACAACAAACAUGUUCAUUAUAAAUUGUAACAUCUAUACCUGUGCGUGAUGAAGCAACUACAGGAAAACCUCCGAUUAGUAACCAAGGUUUGCUCACUCCAGCAACUUGAAAUUGAGCAUUUUAUAGCAGCAGGUGACUUCAGAGACUGGCCAAGCAAAAACCUCAUCUAAUAGGUGUGGUGGUGUGCCUGUAGUCCCA